rnacentral:rRNA from 1 species
AGCAGCCAUCAUUUAAAGAAAGCGUAAUAGCUCACUGGUCGAGUCGGCCUGCGCGGAAGAUGUAACGGGGCUAAACCAUGCACCGAAGCUGCGGCAGCGACGCUUAUGCGUUGUUGGGUAGGGGAGCGUUCUGUAAGCCUGUGAAGGUGUGCUGUGAGGUAUGCUGGAGGUAUCAGAAGUGCGAAUGCUGACAUAAGUAACGAUAAAGCGGGUGAAAAGCCCGCUCGCCGGAAGACCAAGGGUUCCUGUCCAACGUUAAUCGGGGCAGGGUGAGUCGACCCCUAAGGCGAGGCCGAAAGGCGUAGUCGAUGGGAAACAGGUUAAUAUUCCUGUACUUGGUGUUACUGCGAAGGGGGGACGGAGAAGGCUAUGUUGGCCGGGCGACGGUUGUCCCGGUUUAAGCGUGUAGGCUGGUUUUCCAGGCAAAUCCGGAAAAUCAAGGCCGAGGCGUGAUGACGAGGCACUACGGUGCUGAAGCAACAAAUGCCCUGCUUCCAGGAAAAGCCUCUAAGCAUCAGGUAACAUCAAAUCGUACCCCAAACCGACACAGGUGGUCAGGUAGAGAAUACCAAGGCGCUUGAGAGAACUCGGGUGAAGGAACUAGGCAAAAUGGUGCCGUAACUUCGGGAGAAGGCACGCUGAUACGUAGGUGAAGCGACUUGCUCGUGGAGCUGAAAUCAGUCGAAGAUACCAGCUGGCUGCAACUGUUUAUUAAAAACACAGCACUGUGCAAACACGAAAGUGGACGUAUACGGUGUGACGCCUGCCCGGUGCCGGAAGGUUAAUUGAUGGGGUUAGCGCAAGCGAAGCUCUUGAUCGAAGCCCCGGUAAACGGCGGCCGUAACUAUAACGGUCCUAAGGUAGCGAAAUUCCUUGUCGGGUAAGUUCCGACCUGCACGAAUGGCGUAAUGAUGGCCAGGCUGUCUCCACCCGAGACUCAGUGAAAUUGAACUCGCUGUGAAGAUGCAGUGUACCCGCGGCAAGACGGAAAGACCCCGUGAACCUUUACUAUAGCUUGACACUGAACAUUGAGCCUUGAUGUGUAGGAUAGGUGGGAGGCUUUGAAGUGUGGACGCCAGUCUGCAUGGAGCCGACCUUGAAAUACCACCCUUUAAUGUUUGAUGUUCUAACGUGGACCCGUGAUCCGGGUUGCGGACAGUGUCUGGUGGGUAGUUUGACUGGGGCGGUCUCCUCCUAAAGAGUAACGGAGGAGCACGAAGGUUGGCUAAUCCUGGUCGGACAUCAGGAGGUUAGUGCAAUGGCAUAAGCCAGCUUGACUGCGAGCGUGACGGCGCGAGCAGGUGCGAAAGCAGGUCAUAGUGAUCCGGUGGUUCUGAAUGGAAGGGCCAUCGCUCAACGGAUAAAAGGUACUCCGGGGAUAACAGGCUGAUACCGCCCAAGAGUUCAUAUCGACGGCGGUGUUUGGCACCUCGAUGUCGGCUCAUCACAUCCUGGGGCUGAAGUAGGUCCCAAGGGUAUGGCUGUUCGCCAUUUAAAGUGGUACGCGAGCUGGGUUUAGAACGUCGUGAGACAGUUCGGUCCCUAUCUGCCGUGGGCGCUGGAGAACUGAGGGGGGCUGCUCCUAGUACGAGAGGACCGGAGUGGACGCAUCACUGGUGUUCGGGUUGUCAUGCCAAUGGCACUGCCCGGUAGCUAAAUGCGGAAGAGAUAAGUGCUGAAAGCAUCUAAGCACGAAACUUGCCCCGAGAUGAGUUCUCCCUGACCCUUUAAGGGUCCUGAAGGAACGUUGAAGACGACGACGUUGAUAGGCCGGGUGUGUAAGCGCAGCGAUGCGUUGAGCUAACCGGUACUAAUGAACCGUGAGGCUUAACCUUACAACGCCGAAG